rnacentral:rRNA from 1 species
UACGUAGGGGGCAAGCGUUGUCCGGAAUCAUUGGGCGUAAAGAGCGUGUAGGCGGUUCGAUAAGUCUGCUGUGAAAGUCCAGGGCUCAACCCUGGGAUGCCGGUGGAUACUGUCGGGCUAGAGUACGGAAGAGGAGAGUGGAAUUCCCGGUGUAGCGGUGAAAUGCGCAGAUAUCGGGAGGAACACCUAUGGCGAAGGCAGCUCGCUGGGACGUUACUGACGCUGAGACGCGAAAGCGUGGGGAGCAAACAGG